AAGGCUCAAUAGACCUUUUCUGGUCAACACCCCCAACCCAAGAAGAAGCUUCCAUAGCAUUCUUUUUGUGCCGUGGCGACCCCAUUUAUUCUCCUCCAUUUUCCUUUCUCUCCAAGCACCACUCCUUCUCAUUUCCUCUAAACGUAAGGACCAUAAUCCCUCCAAGUUCGAGAAAUGUUGCGCUACCAUAUACUUGAUUCAACCCCCACUUUCCAAGACUCCCUCAAGGCACUCGAGGCUGACAUUCAACAUGCCAAUCUGCUGGCUGCUUCUAUUUCAAGGGGCAAUGGAAGUGCUUGCCUUCAAAUGAAGUUAGUUUACAACAAAUUGGCACCCGUUUUUCUGUUUUUAUAUCAAUGGAUGGAUUUCUCAUGUUCAUGUCUACUUCCAAGCCACUUCAAUCUUUUCCGCGUAAUUGUGUAUAAGAUUCACACCAAUGGGAAGCCAAAUACAUAUUCUUAUGGAAGGAAAGCAACCAUAAGGGAGUUCUAUGGUGUUAUAUUACCUUCUCUUCAGCGUCUUCACGAUGAUUUAGUAGAUACUAACAUCAUGAAAGAAAAAGAUCGCAGCAUCGAGGUGGUUAUCGAUAGGAGUGCGGAUGAUAGGAGGAAGCCUUUUGAUUUGGACUCAGACAGAGAAAAUGAGUGUGGUAUCUGCUUAGAGUCUUGCACAAAAAUGGUCUUACCUAAUUGCUGCCAUGCUAUGUGUAAAAAUUGUUACAGUGACUGGAACACAAGGUCAGAAUCUUGUCCGUUUUGCCGGGGAAGUUUAAAGAGAGUUAACUCAGGUGAUUUGUGGGUUCUAACAAGCAGUAGUGAUGUGAUUGAUGCACAAACCGCGUACAGAGAAGAUAUUCUGUGCCUCUAUCUCUUUGUAAAUAACCUGCCAGAACAUAUUCCUGAUGCUCUUUUCUUUAUGUAUUAUGAGUACUUAUUUUAAUUGAAGAAUAUGUACAGGAGAGAAAAAUGACAGCCAACAGUGUACAGAAUCCUGUCAAUUUUCUUGAUUAUUUGUUUGUAUAUUACUCAGUGAUAACACUCUUGCAUAUAAUAUAUCACUUAUAGUGUUUAUCAAGAUAUCAUUAGAAAAUGAGGUGACUGUUUGCUUUUAACAGAAAUGUCAUAUGUAUAAACAACUUCCAUCCUUGCAUAGUCUUGGAGAGAAUGGAGAAAAUCCUCAUUACCCUAUACAUAUGUUAGGCUUCUAAAUUAUAGACUUAUAGUCAUAAUAUUAUUAGUGGCAUGGGCGUUUGGGUCUGGGUUGGAUGUUGUCAUUGGGUUCGGGUUUGGUUUUAUCUAUCUGUGUUAGUGUUAGUCCUGUUUGGCCGAGUCUGUUUUAUCAUUUGAGUUGUGCCUGUUUUGGGCCAGAGUUAAUUGAUUAGUAGGUUUAGAUUAGUAUAUUUAAGAGUACUCUCAUUGUUAACAAAAAAAAAAGCACUCUCAUUAUUAGCAUUUGAGUAUUGAGUUGUAAAAGGGUUUUACCCUUGGAAUGGAUUUUCCCUUGGAAGAAGGUUCGCCUUCUUGGGUUCGUUUUCAAUAAAUUCUAGUGUUAUUUUAGAAUUACUAUUUUCCCCUAUCCUUACUGUGUUUGGCUGUGAGGUUAUUUUCUAACCUAACAACAUGCAACACUACUCCUCAUCUUUACCUCUAUGUCUAUCAUAUCAACCAUUGGAUUAAUAUCCUUUCGUGCUAGCUCUCUCAUGUUGAAAUUUUGUGUCUAUCUCUCUCUUCAUACCUAUUCAAUAGGUUAGACCCUUUAAAUAUAUAUAUGAAAGGAUAUCCUAUAUGAAGAGAGAAAUAAACACAAUUUUUUCUUGACAUUGCCAUGUGAUAUAUAUAUGCUCAUCUCUUCAUAUGUAUCACCUAUUGUGCUAGGAUAAUUUCUCAUAAUAAAGCAAGACAAUACACAUUUUAUCUUAUCUAAUUAUAUGAUGACGGUGGCGUGGCACCAACGAUGUAAGCUUUCCUGCAUGUACCCACCCAUUGCCAUUUGGGAUAGGUAGUUGUGACUUUUGAUGCUUAAGCUAUUACUUACAAUUGCUUGUUGAAAAACACAUGCCAUGUCUGAAGUAUUGAAUCAUGAGAUGUUACUGUAUCAGAGUGCGGUAUUUAAAUCAUCGCACUUAUUGCUUUAUUAAGUAUGAUUGACACUUAACAAGAAUGGCCGCACCUGUUUUGGCAACUGGCAGUUUAUCUUCAUAAUGAGAGUGAAGAAGAGGGAGGAUGUACCCAUUUAUUAGGACCACUGGCUCAGACUAGCAUUGAAUGUUUUCCAGUUUCUUUAUUGACUGCAAAAACCAAGCAGACUGGGGACGAAAUAAAAUGGAAUUCUGGAGUACUAAGUAUGGCAUGAAUUCAAUAGGUAGUUCUAGAUGCUUCAUUGCUUAAUUCCUCUCUUCAGAUCCACCUUCCAAGAGGCAGAAGCAGAUCCUCUGUCCCCUUUCCAUGACUCAUUUUUCUGACCCAUCAAUGAGAGCUUGCCAUAAAAGAUGGGGUGGUUACAAAUUUACAUGUGUAUCCUUUUUGCUAAUAUAUUAAAAUUUCAUUAUUGUGACAGACAAAUGAGACAUAAUUUGGGGAUAAGAGAUUUUAAUCCCAAAAAGCUAACUUAAUUAGGAUGAAGUCAGGCGACCAAGUCUAUCUUAUGGUAUGAGACUAUCCCUCAUUGUUGUAGCAUGAGAGGAGACAUGAAUAUAUAUUUUUUAUACACCGAAUCUUUCACCCAGAAUCCUAAGACAUUAGGUCAUGUCACAUUGUUGUUCAACACUUACUUUUUCAUCCAAUGUGUGAUGACUUCUUUAUAUACUUUUUUAAUUUCUUACUCACUUAAAGUCUCAAGUGCGUAGCUGUAUACACGGCGGAAAAUAAUAGUGAGGUUAAAAUUAUGGGAGACAGUCACAACAACUAACAACUAAGACCCUUUACAAUGGUUUGUUUAAUUUACUUACUUUCAACACCAUUUUUUCUCUUCCCAACACUCCACAUCAACUUCUCUCUCCAAUUCAACACUCAUUCAACUUUUACCCACUCCAAUGGUUUUUCAUUCAAC